rnacentral:rRNA from 1 species
AGGCUCAGGACGAACGCUGGCGGCGUGCCUAAUACAUGCAAGUCGAACGGUCUUUCUAUGGAAGCUUGCUUCCACUGAGAAGAUAGUGGCGAACGGGUGAGUAACACGUGGGUAACCUGCCCAUAAGAGGGGGGAUAACAUCCGGAAACGGGUGCUAAUACCGCAUAGUUUUCUUGGUCGCAUGAUCGGGAAAGGAAAGACGGCCUUUGUGCUGUCGCUUAUGGAUGGACCCGCGGCGUAUUAGUUAGUUGGUGAGGUAACGGCUCACCAAGACGAUGAUACGUAGCCGACCUGAGAGGGUGAUCGGCCACAUUGGGACUGAGACACGGCCCAAACUCCUACGGGAGGCAGCAGUAGGGAAUCUUCCGCAAUGGACGAAAGUCUGACGGAGCAACGCCGCGUGAGUGAAGAAAAGGUUUUCGGAUCGUAAAACUCUGUUGUCAGAGAAGAACAAGUUGGAGAGUAACUGCUCCAGCCUUGACGGUAUCUGACCAGAAAGCCACGGCUAACUACGUGCCAGCCGCCGC